rnacentral:rRNA from 1 species
GACGAACGCUGGCGGCGUGCCUAAUACAUGCAAGUUGAGCGCUGAAGGUUGGUACUUGUACCAACUGGAUGAGCAGCGAACGGGUGAGUAACGCGUGGGGAAUCUGCCUUUGAGCGGGGGACAACAUUUGGAAACGAAUGCUAAUACCGCAUAAAAACUUUAAACACAAGUUUUAAGUUUGAAAGAUGCAAUUGCAUCACUCAAAGAUGAUCCCGCGUUGUAUUAGCUAGUUGGUGAGGUAAAGGCUCACCAAGGCGAUGAUACAUAGCCGACCUGAGAGGGGGACGGGCAAAAUGGAGACUGGACAACGGCCAAAAUCCCAAGGGGAGGCAGAGGGGGGGAAUCUUCGGCAAUGGACGAAAGUUUGACCGAGCAACGCGGCGGGGGUGAAGAAGGGUUUGGGAUGGUAAAACUCGGUUGGUGGAAAAGAACGGUGGGGAGGGUGGAAAGCACAUCAAGAGACGGAAACAACCGAGAAAGGCAGGGCAAACUACG